rnacentral:siRNA from 1 species
UGCUCGAUUACUUAUGAUUCCU